rnacentral:rRNA from 1 species
AGGGUUCGAUUCUGGCUCAGAACGAACGCUGGCGGCGCGCUUAAGCAUGCAAGUCGAACGGCAAGAGGUAGCAAUACCUCCUAGAGUGGCGGACUGGUGAGUAACACGUGGGUGACAUACCCUUCAGAUGGGGAUAGCUAUUAGAAAUAGUAGAUAAUACCGAAUACGAGCACAGGGGUUAGAGAUCUGUGAGGAAAGGAGCUAAGGCUCCGCUGAAGGAAUGGCCUGCGGCCCAUUAGCUAGUUGGUGAGGUAAGAGCCCACCAAGGCGAUGAUGGGUAUCCGGCCUUAGAGGGUGAACGGACACAUUGGGACUGAGAUACGGCCCAGACUCCUACGGGAGGCAGCAGCUAAGAAUAUUCCGCAAUGGACGAAAGUCUGACGGAGCGACGCCGCGUGGAUGAAGAAGGCCGGAAGGUUGUAAAAUCCUUUUGAAACUGAAGAAUAAGCGUUGUAGGGAAUGACAGCGUGGUGACAGUAGGUUUUGAAUAAGCAACGGCUAAUUACGUGCCAGCAGCGGC